AUCAACGCUGUACAGCAUAUGCGCAGGUGCAAAGCAAACGUUCGCGCAUUAAUUACGAGCCGACUUCAUGAUGACGUUACAUUAGAUAGUGGCUGAAGGACGUUUGGCUACAAAAAGAGUCGAUGAGAAUGACUGCUGAAGCAAACCUAAUUUGAGUGAGGACUGUCUCCCGCAUCAAUUAGACAGCUCUCCGAAUUGCAGCAAAUAUUAGGCCCGAAGCAUUGGCCAGUUGAUCCAGGACCACACGGUGGACACUGUGAGUACUACACAAACGUUACUACGCCAGUUGUAUAACAAUGCAAUCGAAAGUAGUACGACAUAGGCCUAAAUUUUAGAGCGUCAGUCAAGAGUCAGAAUCAAAUAUUACGUAUAUUUGGAUGUUAGAUCGUACCGAAUGAGUAGCUGGUACGUUUGCUACCGUGAGUACAUUUGCUUUACGAUGAGAAGAAAUGAUCUGGGGCCGUAUUAAAAAUCCACUAACCUAUCAUUUUCGCAUCGUUAUUGAAAAAUUUGGUAGCAAUCAUGUUUGGCACGAAAUGAAUGACAUUUACUAUAACUUUACAGUUUGUUUUUCACUGCAUAGUAACUAGGGGAUGAUAUCGAUAUUGGUCUGAAAUUAUAACGUUAUUGUAGCUAGCAACACAUCUAUCGAACCAGAAUAAGAUCUGGUACAGGACAUCAUCCUUAUCAUUUCGACUGUUAUCUCCGUAUCUACUUUAAUACGGGCGGCCUCUAAAAGGAGACAUGAUUCGAACACAAAAUUCAUUUUCUUUAACAUUCAAUAGGAAAGCACUGCGUCGUUUUAAUGUUUAACACGCAAAAUGUUGCUGCCGCCGUUUUAUAAGGAAAUCAGUAUGUUACUAUACAAAGAUUUGGUGAUAAACCUCUUCGGCCUUUUAGUUCUUUUAGGUCAAUGUUUAAAGCUUCCAUGUCUGUUCGUCUGACUACACAUGGCCUAGAUGAGUAACACGGAGUCUCCACCUCGCGAAGCAAGAGUUGACUCCAAAACCCGAGUAGAUCUGCG
rnacentral:lncRNA from 1 species